rnacentral:rRNA from 1 species
AGCGAACGCUGGCGGCAGGCCUAACACAUGCAAGUCGAACGGAUCCUUCGGGAUUAGUGGCGGACGGGUGAGUAACACGUGGGAACGUGCCCUUUGGUUCGGAACAACCCAGGGAAACUUGGGCUAAUACCGGAUAAGCCCUUACGGGGAAAGAUUCAUCGCCGAAGGAUCGGCCCGCGUCUGAUUAGCUAGUUGGUGGGGUAACGGCCCACCAAGGCGACGAUCAGUAGCUGGUCUGAGAGGAUGAUCAGCCUCACUGGGACUGAGACACGGCCCAGACUCCUACGGGAGGCAGCAGUGGGGAAUAUUGGACAAUGGGCGCAAGCCUGAUCCAGCCAUGCCGCGUGGGUGAUGAAGGCCCUAGGGUUGUAAAGCCCUUUCGGCGGGGGAGAUAAUGACGGUACCCGCAGAAGAAGCCCCGGCUAACUUCGUGCCAGCAGCCGCCGUAACAC